CUGGGAGGACCAUCUCCUAAGGCUAAAUACUCUCUAGUGACCGAUAGUGAACCAGUACCGUGAGGGAAAGGUGAAAAGCACCCCGGAAGGGGAGUGAAAUAGAACCUGAAACCGUGUGCUUACAAGUAGUCAGAGCCCGUUAAUGGGUGAUGGCGUGCCUUUUGUAGAAUGAACCGGCGAGUUACGAUUUGAUGCAAGGUUAAGCAGUAAAUGUGGAGCCGUAGCGAAAGCGAGUCUGAAUAGGGCGUUUAGUAUUUGGUCGUAGACCCGAAACCAGGUGAUCUACCCUUGGUCAGGUUGAAGUUCAGGUAACACUGAAUGGAGGACCGAACC
rnacentral:rRNA from 1 species